GUGAGAAUGUGAGCUCCUGGGAGGCCAGGAUUAUUUUCACCUUCUUUGUCUCGUCAGUGCUUAGCAGGGGGCUAGACCAAAAAAGUCAUCCCAUAUAACAGAGAACUUCUUAAAAAGAAAAUGAAAAAGAAUAGAAAAAAAAAUCCGUAAACCCAAUGGAAACAUCAAAAAUUCUGCAACUACAUGCAAUGUGCCACAACCAUAGACCUUCUGCCUCUGCAGAGGAGUAGGAGUAAGUUCUGCAUCAGCUCAUGUAAGCCUAGGCCAAAUUCCUUUGAAUGAUCAUAGGUCUCACUUAGGAGGCUCAGCAGUGUUCUGUGGUUUCAUGCAAAUAGCACAGUUACAUGAAAACAAAAGCAUCUGGAGGACCUCCAUCCAUAGGGAAUUCUUCUUCCAUUUGAAUCUUCUCCAUGACAGUGGCAAACAACUUCGGUGAUUGUGCAUCUCUCCAUUUCACGCUUUGCUUGAUAUUAACUCUCAGAGGAUCCUCAAACAAAGAAGGCUGUGUUGCUACUUCUUUCAAGUAUCUUGUAUAGUUUUAAUUUAAGUAUCAUAUGCUUGGGUAGACAUCCCCCCUAACUCAGCAAUGGGGUUGAAGCCUGCCAACUUGGUUUAACCCUUCUGCCGAGAUAGUUUUACCGGGGUGUAGCCACUGCUUAUGUUACAGCUUUUUGGAGCCACGGGUAAGAGUGGGAUGAAGGUAGACACCAAAGGUGGAUGAG